GUGUGUGUGGGUGUAGGCGGGUGUAGGCGUGUUUGAAUUUCUGUUGUUGCUUGGGUUUUAUUUUACAUGCGAACAUGUCAUCCAUGUGUGUAGAUAAGGAAUGUGAGCUAGCCCUCUCACACUCUACUACAUGUAUGUGUGUUCGUCACAACUGGAAGGUGUUUUGUUUUGUUUUUUCUUCCUGAUCUAUGACUGGCGUUUAAGAAGUGAUUGAGAGUGUGUUUGUGUGUGUGUGUGUGUGGGGGUGAGGGUGGGUGUAUAUAUGUGUGAGUAGGCCUAGAAUACCAGAGGGACCGAUGGUUUCUGUUUAACAAACAAACAAAAAAAACCCUAUCAGACAAACAAAAUCCUUUCUUGAAAGACACUGUUUAUUUUCUACAUUUCUAUAAAAGGUAAAGCUAUUAAAAUGAUUUAAAAACUUGAAUAUUUGCACUUGCAUAAAAAAUAAUAAGGAAAAAAAAAACAAACAAAAAAAGUCGUUUAUAUAGAUGAAUAUUUUUGUGAAUGUGUUUGUGUGAAUUUAAAAGUGUGUGUGAGGUUGUACGAGUGUGAAUGUCUUACUGAAGUGUGACCGAAAAUAAUGUCGGCGCAAUUUUUUGUUUUCUGUUUGCUUACCAAGAUUUGUGAGGCCAUUUUGUCAUUUAGUUGAAAUGAGUUACUUUGUUUAUUUUGUAUUUCUGUCAAAAAAUGUCUGUGUGGUCUCUUCUGAAAUGUGUGAGUGCAAGUGUGUGUAUGGCACAGACAUGAUGGUGAGGGGGGGCAAUAGAACAGUGCAUGAAGGUGAGAGAGGGCAAUAGAACAGUGCAUCCAUUUUUGUUUCAACUUUAUUUUUUGUACACCAGCACUCUCAUCCCCAGGUUGAUUUUUUUUAUUUUAUUUUUCCUCCUUUCAUUUGCUACCAAACUGGUAUGGGUGCCACCUUCUUUGCCAUUAGCCAACACAUGUUUACCAGCUUACCUGUUUGGUGGGAACUGGGAAGGUCUGGAGGUGUGUGUGUGUGUGUAAAACAGUCUCCAUGAUCUGUCACCAUGGUUUUGCUUUCUGCAUCUAAGCCACUCGACCACAACUCUGUGCCUCUGUGAGGUUCCAGUAGCAGAAUGGGAUUGAUGUGGACCUUGAAUCUGUGUGUGUGUGUGUGUGUGUGUGUGUGUGUGCGUGCGUGCGUGCGUGCGGGCGGCUGUGCGCAUAACACAGAAUGAGAUAUCAUAAGAGGUACUCAUUGAAUGAAUGUGUGAUUUUUGUUGUUUGCGAACGUGUGUAUGUGUGCAUUUCCACAAGUGUGCCUAUGAACUAAAAAGGGUCACAGUUCGCCGCAGCCAUGGAGAUUUAAGGCGGUUAUUAUGGGGUGGCAGAGCUGUUUUGAAUCUGUGCCUCAAUGGCUUACUAACCAUGAGAUCUUGCACGACGUGCUGUCUGAUCAUUCUCCGUAGGGCGUAGCACAGUCUGGAGAUGGUUCAUUUGAAAAAGAAAAAAAAGUAGUCCAGUUUGAUUUCUCCACGGGGAUGUGAGCUAGUUGCCUUGUGUCCACUCUCUUGCUCCUGGGCGAUUGAGUAAUUCUGAUUGUGAUCUUUGCUCUAAAAGUUCAAAAAAGUAAAAAAAAAAAAAAAAAAAUAAAAAUAAAUAAAUAAACUUGGCAUCAUACUGUGCAAAGUGCACAAAUAAGGUGCACACAAUGUUAGUAAAUUGUUAUGUAUUCAUUGUUGUUGCUAUUGUUGUUGAUUUCUUUUUAUAUAUCUCUAUAUAUAAAGAAAUAUAUAUGCAUUAUAUUCAAAGUUAAAAGUAUUUGGACUAAGGUUAAGCACUUGGGGCUGCUAUUUUUUUCCUUCAGUUUCAUUGCCACCAUGUGAAGUGUUGUAUUAUUUCUUUCUUAAAAAAAAAGAAAAUGGUUGAAUGUAUUCCAAAAAAAAGGAGAGGGAAAAAAGCCCGUGAAGCCAGAAGAUUUUUUUUUUUUUCCUUUUGUUCUCCGAUACUUCAAGAUACAAACGUGGAGAACCAAAAAGUGUUGAAAGGCAACAAAGAGGCUUAUGGGAGUUGAAUCCUGUUUCUCAUUCUGCUUUUGGAUUAUCUCAUCUUAAUUGUGGACAAAGAAUGGACACUUGAUUGAACACACUGCCUCUUACAGUCCUGUUAAUACAAAAAAAAAAAACAAUGUUAUGAUGAAAUACAAAAAGAAUCUGACUCUUUUUUUUUUUUUUUUAAUUCCUUACUGGAUAUUUCGUUUUUGUUGUUUACAAACCAUGCGGAUUACUUUGGGUGCAGUUUCUUUUUUUUUUGAUGGCGGGAAAAGUAAUGGGGGUGAACAUGGAGGUGCUGUAUAGACUUUUCAGGAAGAGACCCUUGACAGACACUCUGGGGGAUAUUUCACCAUCACUAUCAGACCUCCCCCUGUUGUCAGACCUCCCCUGGGUGGUAAUAUUGUUGUCUGUGUGACAUCAAAGAACAUUGCAAACCAUUGCAGACAAGAUCGUCUCAAGCAAAAUUUUUGUUUGUUUGUUUGUUAGUUACUUGAGUGCCCAAUGGUGGAAAAACCCUCAUUCAUGGUAGCCAUUUGUGUUUACUGAUUUUAAGUCCUUAACUCCCUGAACUGAAUGAAUCAUUGGGGUCAGGACUGGAGAAAUUCAAUUAGCAUUCACAAACACAGCACACCAGAAUUUGGAGGUACAAGGAAUCAGAAAUGCUGCAGGAAAGUCAAGAAAGCCCCUCCAUAGUUGAUGCUUCUCCCUGCCCUCCAUUCUUCCAAGGACUAACUUCUGGCUUAAGCAUUUUGUUUUCUUUUUGAGAAACAACUAUGGGACAUAUCUUAUGGUAAAAAGAAAAAAGUGAGAGACCUGUAGAUAUGUAAUCCAUGAAUGACCUCAAACCACCUAGCAUCGCAUUUGAUAGGGCAGUUUGUGCAAAUAGAAGAAGAAAAGUCAGCUCAUCCCAAUCCAAAACCCCAUUCAUCGAGGGUUUGAAAAAGGUGUUUUUUUGUAUGGGCAAUUCCUAUUAAUCAUGAGGUAGUCUAUGCAAAGGACUACCGGGAUGUUUCCCAAACCCUCAUGCUUACAAACAAUAGACACUGCCCUGGCACACUUGCUAUGCACUUUUUCUUUCGUUGAAACUGUGAGGUUCAUCUGCAUUGGGAUGGGAGCACCAAGUUAUGUGCCCACUCCCUUCAAACAAAAAAAAAAAAAGUAAAAUAAUAAAAAAAAACUGAACUCUUGGAGGGAUGAAAGAAUCCUAUCACCUCCUUUGUAUAUUGACAUAUUUUUGUACAACCUUCUCUUUGAAAAAAUAAAUACGUGGGGAAAGAUUAAAACAGGUUUGAGGCGACAGAUGAAAGAAUUUCAUUAUACAACAACAACUAUGAAUGUUUCUCCAAACAGUUUUUAUACAGCAGGCUGAAAAGUAACAAAAAAAAACUACUGCAAACAUGGAUCUUAAGUCCCCGUUGUUGUUGAAGGCGGGAGGACAUGAGAAGAGCAUGAAUGGGACAUAUUGCUGAAUAGCACAAGCAAAGACAGAUUAUCACAAUACCACAGAUUGACAAUGACUGCACCCUCUGUCCUGCAUACUCACACUGUGGGAAUCAAUCAGGAUGUGCAGGAAUACCCAAGAAUGAGUGGAGUUCCUUCAAUGAGUCCCCUCAAGACUUGUGAAUAGUUGGGAAAUGCGGUUGAUGGAAUUAAAGACGUUCCUAAUCUCCAUCAUCCAACACAGAGCCUUGUAUAGAUUUCGGAUGGAGCUGCAGGACCAUCAAAUUGGAUGGUCUUGAUCCAAGGACUUCAGGAACCAGAGCAUCUCUUCCAUCCUUUCUUACCCCUUUCUCUACACCCUUCCCCACCCCCUUACCCCUUCUCUUCACCCUUCCCCACCUUCCCCUUCUUCCAGUUUCCUUUCUUUACCUCCUCCAAAGUUCAAAAGGAUGGUUUGGAGCCAAUAGAAACGUGUUAGAAGAUUGAAAAAAAACCUGAUCAUUGGCCACAAAGCUGAACCAGAUAACCCUGACAAAGUCGAGGGUCCUAGUGUAUGUGCUACUAUGCACAAUCACUCUGAACUACUGUCCCUCCCCUGCCCUCCUCGACUCUUAGUCUUUUCGCUCUCGGGACCUUGGAGGACAACCAGAAUCUAGAGUUGGAAGCUCAGAUCUAUUGGGAAGAUGAUCACCUCGGCUUUGAGGAACAUAACCCUUGGACAAAUCGAGGAGAUGCUUGAGGACAAAAUCCUCGCCGAAUAAAAGACAUUUGCGUGGGUCUGUGCGACUGGACGUGUCCUGUAAUCGGGUGGAACUCUGAAGGAAGUGACCGACCCAACCAAGACCUUGACUGACAUACUGCAAAAGGGUCUAGAGAGAUGCCCCCUUUAUGUGCGGAGAUACUGGUUGCCAAUGGUGAUGGCUCUAAUGUCCCAAAACCGAUGCCCAUGCAACUAGAGCUUGCAUUGUAAAUCUUCCCGCAUACAUGUACACACAGACAAACAAACACAAUAUUUUACAUAUUUCAUAGCCAAGUGAAGCUCCCUCCACACACAGUUUUCACCAAACAGCAAUGUUAUUGAACCACAUUUGACCCAACUGGACAAAAGCGCCAUAUUAAUGUUAAACCCCCAGAAAGCAUGUGUAUGGUCACUGGGAGGUGAUGUGACCAUAGAUUCUGAUUGUUGUAAACAUAGUAGAGAUCCUUAAAUAUAUCGGCCUAGUCCCACAAAGGUCUUCGCUGCUUCAGUUGACCUCAUUAGACCACUAGACAUCCACAGGUUACAAACAUUAAAAACCCCUUAUAUAUAAACACAUACAAAUUCCCCACAGACAUAUGGUUGCAAAGACAUACACAUACACACCGUCAGACACAUAAGAUAUACACAUACUUAAACACCUUUUGACAGGUGGAUUCUGUAAAUAGUGUAGAAAGUUGUAUCCAUUUUGUCAUUUUUUUUCUUAACAUGUCUUUAUUUUCCUGAUCAACAUGCCUUAACUGUACAGCAUAACAUUGGGUGACGAGAAAGACACAGAAGUGCUGAGGGUAAUCCAAGUACAUAGUUUAGCGACAAACUAUGGUAAGUUCAUUAAGGAAGUGGUAAACCCCCUAAUACCCCCCAGCCAUAGGGCUCGAUAUAGGAGGGUUACCACUUAGCCUACUAGUAUUUACGUACCAAAGUUUGUCACUAAAUCAAGUACUUGGAAUACCCUCUCGGUGUCUUUGGAAAGCAAUUUGGAAACCGAAGUUAGGUCAAGAGUUGUAGUCUCCAGAAUGAAUCAAUGUGGAAGAAUUGAUUUACGUGUCGGAAGUAUUCAACAGUAUGGUACCAGAGACAAACACUCAAGACAAGCGGAGCCAAUAGUAACAGAGAAAGACAGAGAGAGGGGAAAAAAUGACUGUCUCAUGAUGAUGGUUUUGCCUUUUGUUCCUGAAAUGAACGACCAGUUUUAAAUGCCUACAUGUAGCUGAGUUCACAGGCAAGGAGAUGUGAGAGCCGGUGUUCUGCUAAGAUGAGCUGAGCUGACUGGGAAAGGGUUAGUGUUAGCGUGCUAAUAUUAGCGUGUUUAAAGUUUAGCUUUGCCCUACAGCCAGGCUGUCCCUCUAACACACACAUUUAUUAGCGUCUUUAUGGAUGUGAAAUUGCUCAGACAAUUGGGUGACUACUUGUUAACUUCAUGAACUGCAUUAUGCAAGCUUUUCUUUACCUUGUAAUCGUGGAUUCCUUUCCAGUCCUUGUGUGACUUAGAAUUGUGGUCUGUGGAAAAUGUGCAACAUGAAGGUUGCUUUUGGCCCCCAGAUUAUUGCAUGAUAUUACAGGCUAGCUUUGACAAUUUGGUGCUUGGGUGGCAUCCAUAAUAUUGGGCUAUCGGUGGUUGUCCGCAGAAUAAUUUUUUUGUCUCAAACUUUGUUUUGGUGGUGUUAUACUUAAGUACUAUCUCCGAUAUUGUUCUUAUACCUAGUUCAGUAUUUCAGAGUGAGAGUAGAGAGCAUGGGCCAAAAGCCGAGUUGCAUAAUGCAGUUUCAAAAGAAUACUAGUUUAUUUGCUGUCUACCUCAGAUUUAGGUAAGAGGAUACCCUUCUCUUCUUGGUGCGUGCAAUAACCCAGUUUGUUACCGUUAGCAUAGCUUAGCAUAAUUCACCAUUAGGUUAUACCAGUUGACCUAUAGCUCCCUUUUAGCUAUAGGCUAGCUAUUAGAUAUCUGGAAUACGCCAUGUCCAAUUAAUUAUGCUAAGCUAGGCUAACUGUGUCGGACUGGGUUAUUGCACACACAGAGAAGUGAAGGGUAUGUAUCCUCUUAUCCAACUUUGGGGUAGAUGGCAAAUAAACUAGUUUUACAAAAUGUUGAUGUGUUCCUUUAAAGAACCGCUUCCAAAGUCUGUUAUGCAUGAAACACAAUUGGAUAAACCUUCCUAAUCAUUAGAUAUAUUUACAAAAUGUUGGUAAAAUGCCAAUAAUUGUUUGAACAUGCAGUAGUUAAGAUGGAAAUAAACUAUUUUGUUUGAAAAAAUAAAUGUGCAGCCAUAAGCUAGAAAAGACAUUUUUUUUAAUUCUGCUAAUGAUUGUCACUUGUGGGAAAUUUAUUUUUGGGAAGGGGAAAAAGUAAUUAGGAUACAUUAAUUGUCAUUGGAUUUUUAUUUAGUUGCCUCUUCUUGACCAGUCAGCUCAACCCCUUCUGCUUACAUUUUAUGAAUGUUUUAGUGAUAAGAGUUAACAGGAGAAGAACAACCAACGUAAAACUGUACAUAGUUUGUUUGUUUGUUUGAAGAGAUAAAAUGAUUAAACAAAUACAAUAAAAGAGA